rnacentral:rRNA from 1 species
UGGGGGAUAUUGCACAAUGGGGGAAACCCUGAUGCAGCGACGCCGCGUGGAGGAAGAAGGUUUUCGGAUUGUAAACUCCUGUCGUUAGGGACGAUAAUGACGGUACCUAACAAGAAAGCACCGGCUAACUACGUGCCAGCAGCCGCGGUAAAACGUAGGGUGCAAGCGUUGUCCGGAAUUACUGGGUGUAAAGGGAGCGCAGGCGGACCGGCAAGUUGGAAGUGAAAUCUAUGGGCUCAACCCAUAAAUUGCUUUCAAAACUGCUGGCCUUGAGUAGUGCAGAGGUAGGUGGAAUUCCCGGUGUAGCGGUGGAAUGCGUAGAUAUCGGGAGGAACACCAGUGGCGAAGGCGACCUACUGGGCACCAACUGACGCUGAGGCUCGAAAGCAUGGGUAGCAAACAGG